GAUGAAGAACGUAGCGAAAUGCGAUAAGUAGUGUGAAUUGCAGAAUUCAGUGAAUCAUCGAAUCUUUGAACGCACAUUGCGCCCCUUGGUAUCCCGAGGGGCAUGCCUGUUCGAGCGUCAUUUCAACCCUCAAGCUCUGCUUGGUGUUGGGCCCUGCCCGCUGCGGCCGGCCCUAAAGACAGUGGCGGUGCCGCCUGGCCCUGAGCGUAGUACAUCUCUCGCUCCAGUGCCCGGUGGUAGCCUGCCAGAACCCCAACUCUCGUGGUUGACCUCGGAUCAGGUAGGGAUACCCGCUGAACUUAAGCAUAUCAAUAAGCGGAGGA
rnacentral:misc_RNA from 1 species